AACGAACGCUGGCGGCAGGCCUAACACAUGCAAGCCGAACGCCCCGCAAGGGGAGUGGCAGACGGGUGAGUAACACGUGGGAACCUUCCCAUCGCUGCGGAACAGCUCAGGGAAACUUGAGGUAAUACCGCAUACGCCCUUACGGGGAAAGAUUUAUCGGCGAUGGAUGGGCCCGCGGCUGAUUAGCUAGUUGGUGAGGUGAUGGCUCACCAAGGCGACGAUCAGUAGCUGGUCUGAGAGGACGACCAGCCACACUGGGACUGAGACACGGCCCAGACUCCUACGGGAGGCAGCAGUGGGGAAUAUUGGACAAUGGGCGCAAGCCUGAUCCAGCCAUGCUGCGUGAGUGACGAAGGUCUUCGGAUUGUAAAGCUCUUUUGGCGGGGACGAUAAUGACGGUACCCGCAGAAUAAGCCCCGGCUAACUUCGUGCCAGCAGCCGCCGUAAUAC
rnacentral:rRNA from 1 species